UACGUAGGGGGCUAGCGUUGUCCGGAUUUAUUGGGCGUAAAGAGCGUGUAGGCGGCCAGGUAGGUCUGGUGUGAAAACUCGAGGCUUAACCUUGAGAUGUCAUCGGAAACCAUUUGGCUAGAGUCCGGAAGAGGAAAGUGGAAUUCCUGGUGUAGCGGCGAAAUGCGCAGAUAUCAGGAAGAACACCAAUGGCGAAAGCAGCUUUCUGGGACGGUACUGACGCUGAGACGCGAAAGCGUGGGGAGCGAACAGG
rnacentral:rRNA from 1 species